GCGCGGAAAGCACUCGAACCUUCUCAAACUGCGUGCUCCGACAUACCUGGUUACAAGCACACACCAAUGGAUUUCAUAAUUAAUGAAGGAGGAACAAGAGGUAAAGGCCAUGUGGCCUGACAGAGGCUCUUGCUCCUAAGUGCAUUCGGCAAACAUAUUCAAAGAAAAUACAGCACAAAAAAUGAAGAAAAAGCACUUCAAGCCAUACGUCACUUUUGGGUGGAAGCAUUAAAGUACCUAGAGCAGCUACUUGUGGCCUGACGCAUCCAAACAACAGGGCGACAUGAAUUUCAAUGUGGCAAAGUAUGCGGUCAAAUCCUUAGUUUUUAUUGGUUACCUUAGCCUGCAGCAAAAUGAUAAUAAAAAGCCAUAAAUUCCUAGUAGCUGAAUCAUGAAAUGCUUAAGUUGUGCAUGUUUACAUGUUUUCUUCACACCAUGUAUAAUUUUUAGCUUUUCCUCUAGAUGUCUAAUAAAACGAAUGAGCUUUCACGUUACUACUUAUUUAAUUGAAAUUUUUUGCAUGCUCAACAGUGUUUGUAGUGAUAGUAUGUAAACAAGGUGUGGAAAAGUUUAUUUAGGUGCUUUGAGUGAGUGCUCAACAGCAAGUUUUAACAAUUGUAGUGAAAUUACCUUGGUAUUAUUUUUAUCCCUCAAAUAUGUCACACCUUUUCACACCCAUUUCAUGUAUUAAAGCAGGCUACCUUUAUAUAGCUGUUUUAAUGAGCAUACAAAUUACUCUGCUACAUUAAAGUAACAUUUAGGUGGGCUACACUGUCAUACACCAUAAAAAUGUGCCGUAUUCUUUCACUCAAACAAAAUAUGAAUAACUUUGAAUUAUUAUUGAGGCCAUUUUCAGGUAACAUUUCAAUGCCCUUUUCUAGAUGUUCACUGAACAUCUGCGUAAAAUGCACAAGUCUUGCAACACAAUGUCGCUGGGAUACUCAGAAUGCGUUCUAGAAAAAUAAAGAAACAUGUAUAGUGCAUACAAAAAUGUGAUCUGGAUCAUUGAAACGUGUUAUAAUUCUUUAAGUAUGCUCAGUGUAGGUACAGGAGCCCAAUACUUGAUCACCCACGCAACAGUAAAAGCAUAUGUGAAAGACAGUCCAACAAUAAAUGUGUGUUGUGCAUUUAACACGAGUUCAUUGCAAAAGAGCAUAAUCUGGACUUGAGCGUUGGAUUCGAGUGCUGCCCUUUAGCAUGAAUUUUUUUAUG